CUGAGACAGGUGCUGCAUGGCUGUCGUCAGCUCGUGUUGUGAAAUGUUGGGUUAAGUCCCGCAACGAGCGCAACCCUUAUCCUCUGUUGCCAGCACUUCGGGUGGGAACUCAGGGGAGACUGCCGGUGAUAAACCGGAGGAAGGUGGGGAUGACGUCAAGUCAUCAUGGCCCUUACGAGUAGGGCUACACACGUGCUACAAUGGCGCAUACAAAGAGAAGCGACCUCGCGAGAGCAAGCGGACCUCAUAAAGUGCGUCGUAGUCCGGAUUGGAGUCUGCAACUCGACUCCAUGAAGUCGGAAUCGCUAGUAAUCGUAGAUCAGAAUGCUACGGUGAAUACGUUCCCGGGCCUUGUACACACCGCCCGUCACACCAUGGGAGUGGGUUGCAAAAGAAGUAGGUAGCUUAACCUUCGGGAGGGCGCUUACCACUUUGUGAUUCAUGACUGGGGUGAAGUCGUAACAAGGUAACCGUAGGGGAACCUGCGGUUGGAUCACCUCCUUACCGAG
rnacentral:rRNA from 1 species